rnacentral:misc_RNA from 1 species
UUAAUAUUUGUUAUGAAGUACUGAAGGUGCAGUAAAUUUAACUAAGAUUGUGUUAUCAUUAAGAUUUUCUCUCUCCUCUUUUUAGCAACCUAUAUUCUGGAAUCAUAAUUUAGGAUUUUGGAAGGAUUAUUUAUGACUAACUAUUCCUUUGUUUGAGUUGGAAACUUUGCAGUGGGUUCAACACAUUGUUGAAAAUUUGAUAUAUUACUUCAGUUUCCAGG